CCUACGGGAGGCAGCAGUAGGGAAUAUUGCUCAAUGGGGGAAACCCUGAAGCAGCAACGCCGCGUGGAGGAUGAAGGUUUUCGGAUUGUAAACUCCUUUUGAUAGAGAAGUUAAUGACGGUAUCUAAGGAAUAAGCUCCGGCUAACUCCGUGCCAGCAGCCGCGGUAAUACGGAGGGUGCCAGCGUUACUCGGAAUCACUGGGCGUAAAGCGCGCGUAGGCGGGAUAGCAAGUCAGAUGUGAAAUGCUAUGGCUUAACCAUAGAACUGCAUUUGAAACUGUUAUUCUAGAGUAUGGGAGAGGUAGGUGGAAUUCGUGGUGUAGGGGUGAAAUCCGUAGAGAUCAAGAGGAAUACUCAUUGCGAAGGCGGCCUGCUAGAACGUAACUGACGCUGAUGCGCGAAAGCGUGGGGAGCAAACAGGAUUAGAUACCCUUGUAGUC
rnacentral:rRNA from 1 species